AUAUUAAAUUGAUUUUUGGAUCACGGAGCUGGAGCCGGGGCUUGCUCUGUCCACUCCACGCAUCGGCCUGGUAUUGCAGUGUUUCCAGGAACGGUGU
rnacentral:snRNA from 1 species